CAUUCACGGAGAGUUUGAUCCUGGCUCAGGACGAACGCUGGCGGCGUGCUUAACACAUGCAAGUCGAACGAUGAACCACCUUCGG
rnacentral:rRNA from 1 species